CAGCCGCCGCGGUAAUACCGGCGGCCCGAGUGGCGGUCACUAUUAUUUGGCUUAAAGCGUCCGUAGCCGGGUUGGGAAGUCCUCCGGGAAAUCUGGCCGCUUAACGGUCAGAAUGCCGGAGGAUACUCCCAGCCUAGGGAGCGGGAGAGGCCGAGGGGAUUCCCGGAGGAGGGGGGAAAUCCUAUAAUCCCGGGAGGACCACCUGUGGCGAAGGCGCUCGGCUGGAACGCGUCCGACGGUGAGGGACGAAGGCCAGGGGAGCAAACCGGAUUAGAUACCCGGGUAGUCCUGGCUGUAAACGAUGCGGACUUUGUGUCGGACAAGCUAUGAGCUUGUCCGGUGCCGGAGGGAAACCGUUAAGUCCGCCGCCUGGGGAGUACGGCCGCAAGGCUGAAACUUAAAGGAAUUGGCGGG
rnacentral:rRNA from 1 species